GAGUUUGGCCGGAGAAUCGGAGCAGCGGGGGCGGUAUUGCACCCGCUUUACCGCACCGUUGUGACGAAAAGAGAGCUGAGCCGGAAGGCAAAGCUCUCGAUCUACCGGUCAAUCUUCGUUCCUACCCUCACCUAUGGUCAUGAAGGAUGGGUCAUGACCGAAAGAACUAGGUCACAGGUACAAGCGGCCGAAAUGGGUUUUCCUCAGGAGAGUGACUGGUGUCUCCCUUAGGGAUAGGGUGAGAAGCUCAGCCAUUCGCGAGGAGCUUUCCUUUGCGUCGAAAGGAGCCAGUUGAGGUGGUUUAGGCAUCUGGUGAGGAUGCCCCCUAGGCGCCUCCCUAGGGAGGUGUUUCAGGCACGGCCAGCUGGAAAGAGGCCCCGGGGAAGACCCAGGACUAGGUGGAGAGAUUAUAUCUCUGCACUGGCCUGGGAACGCCUUGGGAUCCCCCAGUCAGAGCUGGUAGAUGUGGCCCGGGAAAGUGUGGGGUCCCCUGCUGGAGCUGUUGCCCCCGCGACCCGACCCCGGAUAAGCGGUUGAAGAUGGAUGGAUGGAUGGACAUUCAUAUAUGUUAUCCGUUUACAUGUCAUGGCAAAACAUUCAACCUCAGUGACACAAGGGUACAUCUGAUGAUACAUUGUCAACAUUGCAUGUCUGUCAGACUCAUCCACGAUUGUCUGGUGGAAUGGAGAAAGAGGCACCACUGUACAGUUUUCUAGGUUCUGCUGACACCAAAAUACUGCUUUACAUAAAGCAUAUCAGCUGUUUCAUUGCAAGUCCCAACCAUUUGUCUUCCUAAAAUACUGGUCCUUCCGUAUAACAAUAACCUUGUAUGUGAUUGGAGGACCCUUAGACUCCUCGUCCAAUCACGUGUGAGGUCAUAGGCAUGACUGAUACAGCAGUACUUGCAAGACGAGCAUACAAACAGUGUUACUAUAUUCAGAAGAACUGUAUCUCCAGUUCCUUUGUUUGGUUUUUGCUGGUUUGUGAAUAAUGGCUGGACGACGUCUCGCGUUCAACUCGCCUUCAACUCAUCUCCGCGGUCAGCAACUUUCGGCCAGUCCGCAGACAGACGAGAAGAAACUGCUGAAUGCUCUCAGUGGAUUGUCUCGCCAACUCCAACAACAAACUGCCGAUAUCAAUGAGCGUUCGGGACUCUCCAGGUUGCUGUCCAUAGAGGAGAGGUUUGCGGCGCGGGAGGAACUGACUCAAAGAAGAGGAGACUGGCGCUAGCGGAAGCGGUGCGCCGUCUUCACAACUCCGAGACGAAUUACAGGCGCUACGAACCGGAGCAAGGGUAAGAUUUAAAAAAUAUGCUUUCAUUCUGCGGUAUAAGGAAAUAUAUACAUAUAGAUACCAUAGGAUGGAUACCGAUCAUAACUGUACAUUUUGUUUUCACAGACUAAUCUCGCCUCAUAAUGAGGCGGUGACCUCGUAUUUGCUCCGGGAAAAGUCCAGAUUUCGAUUUAGAUAAAGACGUCAUUGUGUGUUAGUGACACUGUUUACAGUUUCUCCUUCCUUGUUAAAUGUUACUGUGACUUGCGUUUGAUUUUUUAUUCAUACCACUGUAGUGAAUGUGACUGCAUAAACUUCCACACCACACUCAUUUAAUUGUUUUCCAGCCGCCUGUAAGACGUAUUUUGAGACGGUACGCAGGAGCUUCAGGUUCUCCCAGCCGGAACACUCAUUGCGGGCGGAAGCUGCGAAGAAUUCAGCGCGGAGUCGAGCGAGAAGAAAGAGGGUAAGAGUUUAUUUGCUGACUUUUUUCAGGUGCAUUGAUAGAUGUGUUGUGUCCAUACUCAUCGCACAGUACUGAUUCAUUGUUGUUUUUACAGCUGCUGGAAUCGAGACAAAGUGUGCUGGCUGAUGACGAGGUGGAACUCUGGAAAUCCGCCACCGUAGAGCUCAUGUCGGACGGAGAGGAUGGCGUUGUUUGCGGGGUCUCGGGGUGGAUUGUACGGUCGCCGCCAAAAUACAGAGCCACGCACACUAGGCGCCUGCACAACAGACCUGCCUCGGAAAACAUGCCGCCAGUGACAGUCUACAACCCCGAGGAGGCAAACGGACAGUUUACUGAGCUGUAGUUUUUUAAACCGCCUUUACCCAAGUGUGGGCAGAUCCUCACUUUGUAUAUAGUUGUUGUUUGUAUGUUGUUAAUAAAGCUCUUUCUUUGCAUAAACAUGUUCCUGGCAAAUGUUCAUUUUCUCUAUAAAUUCAUUGAUGUCCUGGAUGGUAUCCUAAUAAUAGUGUAGUAGCCUACAUAGGAUAACAAUGAAAUGAAUGUCCAGCAUAAUAUGAAUAUAUAAAUAUAUAUAAAUAAAAUGAGGCGGGUGACCAAUAGCGACAGAUCUGCCAACCAAUCACGAGUGAUUUGAAAGUUGUGGUUUCAUCACAAUCAUGAGCAAGGAAAACUCAAGCCUUGGUCUGCCCAGGUGUGGUUUUGCUGCCAAUCACGAGUGAUUUUACUUGUUUGAAAGAUGUGGUUUCAUCCAAUACGGAGUAGGGAUAUUUAAGCCCGCUCAGGCACCCGCGGUUUCGCUGUAUUCAUAUGCUAAUUUGGGCCAUUCGCACCUCCACCAGCUCUCCACAUACGCCUUGGAUUGUUUCCGACAAACACGACGUGCGCGGGUUGCAAAUUGUCGGAAAUGGUCGGAAAUUAGGGAGAUUUCCGGGCGUUUCCGGGGACGAAAAUCUCACUUUUCAUGCAGUGCAGUCCGUCAAGCUCCUGAAAUUUGCGGAUGACACCACCUUCGUUGGACUGAUCUCUGGUGGUGAUGAGUCCGCCUACAGGUGGGAAUCUGGUGUCGUGGUGCAGCCAGAACAACCUAGAGCUCAACGCCCUAAAGACAGUGGAGAUGGUUGUGGAUUUCCGGAGGAACAGAGCCCCACCUUCCCCCAUUACUCUGUGCGACUCCCCCGUCACUAUUGUGGAUUCCUUCCGUUUCCUGGGCUCCAUCAUCACCCAGGACCUCAAGUGGGAGCUGAACAUCAGCUCCAUCACCAAUAAGCAGCAGAGGUUGUUCUUCCUCAGGCAGCUGAAGAAAUUCAACCUGCCAAAGACGAUGAUGGUGCACUUUUACACGGCCAUCAUCGAGUCCAUCCUCUGCUCCUCCAUCACCGUCUGGUACGCUGCAGCCACAGCCAAGGACAAGGGCAGGCUGCAGCGUGUCAUCCGCUCUGCAGAGAGGGUGAUUUAGAUUAGAUUAGAUUCAACAACGAAAUGCAGUUUAACAUCCAACCAGAAGUGCAAAAUUGCAAAAAGUGCAGAGUAUGUGCAUAUGUAAAGUGUAAUAAGUGAAUAAAUAGAUAUGAUCGGCUGCAAUCUGCCGUCCCUGCAGGACUUGUUCGCUUCUAGGUCUCUGAAGAGAGCUAAAGAGAUCGUAGCCGACCCCUCUCACCCCGGACAAAACCUGUUUGUGCCCCUUCCAUCUGGCAAGUGUUUAACACUUAAAGUGAUAACAUUUAUGUACGUACAUUUGCAAAUGUACAUACUAAUUAUAAUGGUGAUGGUGGCCCAGAAGUGCAAAACACAACAGCAAAUAGGAAAACACAACGACAUCCACCAGAGGAUGGACCCUUCUGAUUGGACAGACGGACUGUCUGUCUUUUAACAGGAAAUGAGUACAGGGCUCUAAAGUAUCACGCAUUUCGGUCUCUUGUAACGCACUCCCGCCACACAUCCAAUUCCUCACGACAAGGAAUUGGAAUCCGGUCCCUGAGCCGUGUCGCCCGUAGUGUCCGCGGUACCCCUGCCCCCCCUUUUAUUUUACACACCUAAAUAUAAUUUACAUUUAUAAUAAACAACAAAACACCGGUAAAACAAUGGUGAAACACUAGUAGGACACUCGUAAAACAUCGCCAUCUCUCUGCUGCGGCUCUCCUUCUGCGCUCACUUCCACCCCUCAUCAUAGGCUCUCCCGCCACUGAUUUCUUGAUUUCUCAGCUUCCAGAAUCCGUGAGAAUUACGUUGAUUGUGCAAAUAGUUAAGGAGUCUCACGUUAAUUUGAAUCCUCCAUGUCACGGCGAAAGGCUUCGGACUGAGACGGUUCAAAGACAAACAGUCCGUCUGUCCAAUCAGAAUGGUCCGUCCACUGCUAGAUAGGCCCUACCCUUUCCGUACGAAGUUAAUGUCGUUGUGUUUUCCCAUUUGCCCUUGUGCCUCCUAUUUUUUGUUGUAUUUUUCUAUUUACUGUUGUUUUCUUAUUUGCCAUUGUGAUUAUCAGCUCCAUGGCAGCUACAAUUCACAUUGUAUUUACAAAACCUUCAGUUCAUCAGGUAAUUAGUGCCUUUCUCCGCCCAAUAUACUGCACAUUGCGAUCAUUAAAGAAAAUGCUGGCCGUGUAAAGCCUAACAUUAUUUUCAAACAGCAAUAUUGUCUCUUGAAUACUGGUUUAGGCAGCAAUUUACCUCAUAUUUUUAAGUCGAAACAACAUGUUAGAUUUUACAUUGUAUGAUUGGCUGAUCCCGUUUUCCUUACCCUAAAACUCCUCAUGACUAAACAGAACAAACAAAGGGGACAACUGUCAGCCAAUCAGACGUUCAGUAGUCGUUCAGUCAUGCUUAACCAUAGUAGGGAAAAAAUCAUAAAGGUGAAUAAAUCUUUUUCCGGACCAAUGAGAGCUUUUUUGGGAAUAUUGGUGUUCUGGAAUAAUAGCCUCUCGGAACAAGGGUCAGUCCCCCUCACAAGUGCUUGAGGGGAGGGGGAACUGCCCCAGAUAGUCACUAUCUUGUUGCUCUAUGAGGUAAUGUUGGAAUUCACAAAAGUUGGAAAUCUGUAUAUGCAUAUGUAUAACUCCACAAUGGGUGGGCCAGUAUCAUGCAUGGUAGCCCAUCAUCGGAGAUGAAAUAAUGAACAGGAGGCAAAUAAUCAAAGACUGUAAAAGCGAGACAGAUACAUUGCUGCCAACAUAUUUUUGACCGAUAGAUGUUCAGUUCUUAAUACAUUGCAAUAAGUCUCCUUUUAGGCUAUUGAGUUUUUCCAUACAUGACAAUUACAUCGCUAUUGUAAGCUGCUACAUAAAGCAAUAACCAAUUUAGUUCCCAAGUCCUGUGGCCAUCACACAGUAACUAAUAACAUCCAUCAUGGUAUUUUUUUGGGCCCUUGUUUUUGUGAAAGCUGUUCUUCUAGACUGAAAUACAACCCAGCUUUAUUGUGGCUAGAAACCAGUUCUGCUCCUGCUGCAACCAAAAAUUAAUGUUCUCUGUAAACCCAACCUAAGGAGGGUCUGACUAUGUUAUCAGAUUCAAGGUGCAAAUGCAGCAUAUAACAUGUUGGGAGGGAUCCGUAAAUUACAUUGAGACCCUUUAUAGCACUAGUUAAAUAUAUGCAUGGGAAUUCAGUCAACAUUAUGUACUGAGAUGAAUGUGUUGAUUGCAGGUGUGCAUUCCCACUUACUGUGAGAUUUCAGAAAACAGUUCUAGUGGCUUAAAGAUGGGUUUAUCAACUAAUUGUGCCCGUAGAUGUGGCUUGAGACCUUGAUGGAUUUUUCCAUUGUCUCUACUUUCACCGCUUAUGACUUAUUCAGUGAUUCAUUUUUAAUCAAAGCUGAAAUCAAAGAUGUCUGUUAGGCCAUUAACAGCCCAUAAUAUUUGGCUGUAACAAAUAAAACAUGUACUUUUUAUUUCAAAACGUGACAUGAGUGAAGUGAAAGCAAAUAGAUUUGAUUACUUUGUAAAUGGGGUGAUGAAAAGGUCAUACUUAUUGUACUGACAGUUUCUGUCAAAUGAUCCAUUAUCGUAGGCCCGCUGAGACUUAAAAAACACAUUCGGCAGGUACAUCUGCUCACUUGAAGACAGCCCAAUUUUAAAUUAAUCUCAUUGCAUAAUUCAAAGUUGUGACUAAGUCAGGCAUGUUAAAAAAGGCAUCUUAAAUUAUACCAUCCAAACUCUGGUGUCUCAUUAAUAUUACAGGAACUAUUCUUUGACUUGAUUUCAUUUACUUUAUCCAUCUGAGUGAGGACAAACGUCCCAGAAGGGAGGAAUUACAAAGGGUGAAAAUCACAUUUUAGGGU
ensembl:lncRNA